GGGAGGGGCGCGGCCGCCGCCCCCCAGGGGGGCCCCACGGUGGAGCGGCGCUGUCCCCGCUGUGGGAACGAGGGGAUGAGUUACCGCACGCGUCAGAUGCGCUCGGCCGACGAGGGCCAGACGGUUUUCUACAGCUGCCCCCGCUGCGGGUUUCAGGAGAAGGAAGAUUCCUGAAAAAUUCCCGAUUUUUGGACUCUUCCGGCUCUUCCCGAGGAAUAAAAGCGACCCCCGCUGGAUCCGGGCUUGGUUUCGAUUUGUGGGACC